GGGUUGUGAGGUUAAGCGACUAAGCGUACACGGUGGAUGCCCUGGCAGUCAGAGGCGAUGAAGGACGUGCUAAUCUGCGAUAAGCGCCGGUAAGGUGAUAUGAACCGUUAUAACCGGCGAUUUCCGAAUGGGGAAACCCAGUGUGAUUCGUCACACUAUCAUUAACUGAAUCCAUAGGUUAAUGAGGCGAACCGGGGGAACUGAAACAUCUAAGUACCCCGAGGAAAAGAAAUCAACCGAGAUUCCCCCAGUAGCGGCGAGCGAACGGGGAGGAGCCCAGAGCCUGAAUCAGCAUGUGUGUUAGUGGAAGCGUCUGGAAAGGCGCGCGAUACAGGGUGACAGCCCCGUACACAAAAGCGCAUGUGCUGUGAGCUCGAUGAGUAGGGCGGGACACGUGGUAUCCUGUCUGAAUAUGGGGGGACCAUCCUCCAAGGCUAAAUACUCCUGACUGACCGAUAGUGAACCAGUACCGUGAGGGAAAGGCGAAAAGAACCCCGGCGAGGGGAGUGAAAAAGAACCUGAAACCGUGUACGUACAAGCAGUGGGAGCCCCACCACUAAGCCAGUGGUGAACUCUACAUACGCAUCCUUUGCUGAGGAUACGGUUAACGGAGCGAAAGCGACGUUCAACCUCAAAAGAAGCAGAGGGGGCUUAGUGGUGGGGUGACUGCGUACCUUUUGUAUAAUGGGUCAGCGACUUAUAUUCUGUAGCAAGGUUAACCGUAUAGGGGAGCCGUAGGGAAACCGAGUCUUAACCGGGCGUUAAGUUGCAGGGUAUAGACCCGAAACCCGGUGAUCUAGCCAUGGGCAGGUUGAAGGUUGGGUAACACUAACUGGAGGACCGAACCGACUAAUGUUGAAAAAUUAGCGGAUGACCUGUGGCUGGGGGUGAAAGGCCAAUCAAACCGGGAGAUAGCUGGUUCUCCCCGAAAGCUAUUUAGGUAGCGCCUCGUGAAUUCAUCUCCGGGGGUAGAGCACUGUUUCGGCUAGGGGGCCAUCCCGGCUUACCAACCCGAUGCAAACUGCGAAUACCGGAGAAUGUUAUCACGGGAGACACACGGCGGGUGCUAACGUCCGUCGUGAAGAGGGAAACAACCCAGACCGCCAGCUAAGGUCCCAAAGUCAUGGUUAAGUGGGAAACGAUGUGGGAAGGCCCAGACAGCCAGGAUGUUGGCUUAGAAGCAGCCAUCAUUUAAAGAAAGCGUAAUAGCUCACUGGUCGAGUCGGCCUGCGCGGAAGAUGUAACGGGGCUAAACCAGGCACCGAAGCUGCGGCAGCGACGCUGAUGCGUUGUUGGGUAGGGGAGCGUUCUGUAAGCCUGCGAAGGUGGCCUGUGAGGGUUGCUGGAGGUAUCAGAAGUGCGAAUGCUGACAUAAGUAACGAUAAAGCGGGUGAAAAGCCCGCUCGCCGGAAGACCAAGGGUUCCUGUCCAACGUUAAUCGGGGCAGGGUGAGUCGACCCCUAAGGCGAGGCCGAAAGGCGUAGUCGAUGGGAAACGGGUUAAUAUUCCCGUACUUGGUGUUACUGCGAAGGGGGGACGGAGAAGGCUAUGUUGGCCGGGCGACGGUUGUCCCGGUUUAAGCGUGUAGGUGUGUGUUCCAGGUAAAUCCGGUUCACUUUAACACUGAGGCGUGAUGACGAGGCACUACGGUGCUGAAGCAACAAAUGCCCUGCUUCCAGGAAAAGCCUCUAAGCAUCAGGUAACAUCAAAUCGUACCCCAAACCGACACAGGUGGUCAGGUAGAGAAUACCAAGGCGCUUGAGAGAACUCGGGUGAAGGAACUAGGCAAAAUGGUGCCGUAACUUCGGGAGAAGGCACGCUGACACGUAGGUGAAGUGAUUUACUCAUGGAGCUGAAGUCAGUCGAAGAUACCAGCUGGCUGCAACUGUUUAUUAAAAACACAGCACUGUGCAAACACGAAAGUGGACGUAUACGGUGUGACGCCUGCCCGGUGCCGGAAGGUUAAUUGAUGGGGUCAGCGCAAGCGAAGCUCCUGAUCGAAGCCCCGGUAAACGGCGGCCGUAACUAUAACGGUCCUAAGGUAGCGAAAUUCCUUGUCGGGUAAGUUCCGACCUGCACGAAUGGCGUAAUGAUGGCCAGGCUGUCUCCACCCGAGACUCAGUGAAAUUGAACUCGCUGUGAAGAUGCAGUGUACCCGCGGCAAGACGGAAAGACCCCGUGAACCUUUACUAUAGCUUGACACUGAACAUUGAGCCUUGAUGUGUAGGAUAGGUGGGAGGCUUUGAAGUGUGGACGCCAGUCUGCAUGGAGCCGACCUUGAAAUACCACCCUUUAAUGUUUGAUGUUCUAACGUGGACCCGUUACCCGGGUUGCGGACAGUGUCUGGUGGGUAGUUUGACUGGGGCGGUCUCCUCCUAAAGAGUAACGGAGGAGCACGAAGGUUGGCUAAUCCUGGUCGGACAUCAGGAGGUUAGUGCAAUGGCAUAAGCCAGCUUGACUGCGAGCGUGACGGCGCGAGCAGGUGCGAAAGCAGGUCAUAGUGAUCCGGUGGUUCUGAAUGGAAGGGCCAUCGCUCAACGGAUAAAAGGUACUCCGGGGAUAACAGGCUGAUACCGCCCAAGAGUUCAUAUCGACGGCGGUGUUUGGCACCUCGAUGUCGGCUCAUCACAUCCUGGGGCUGAAGUAGGUCCCAAGGGUAUGGCUGUUCGCCAUUUAAAGUGGUACGCGAGCUGGGUUUAGAACGUCGUGAGACAGUUCGGUCCCUAUCUGCCGUGGGCGCUGGAGAACUGAGGGGGGCUGCUCCUAGUACGAGAGGACCGGAGUGGACGCAUCACUGGUGUUCGGGUUGUCAUGCCAAUGGCACUGCCCGGUAGCUAAAUGCGGAAGAGAUAAGUGCUGAAAGCAUCUAAGCACGAAACUUGCCCCGAGAUGAGUUCUCCCUGAGACUUUAGGUCUCCUGAAGGAACGUUGAAGACGACGACGUUGAUAGGCCGGGUGUGUAAGCGCAGCGAUGCGUUGAGCUAACCGGUACUAAUGAACCGUGAGGCUUAACCUUACAACGCCGAAG
rnacentral:rRNA from 1 species